rnacentral:SRP_RNA from 1 species
CCGUGCUAGGUGGGGAGAUAGCGGUGCCCUGUACUCGCAAUCCGCUCUAGCGAGGCUGAAUUCCUCCUUUGAGGUCUAACCCUCGAGGCCACUGCCCUUGGACGGUGGUGUUGAGAGCCGGGUCCUACGCGGCGGAAACCUGUGAACCCCGUCAGGUCCGGAAGGAAGCAGCGGUAAGCAAUCAUCUUUGAGUGCUGUGAGGUAGCCCAACCUUUAUUAUCUAACAAUUGGCAAUCGUCAAUGAGCGG